rnacentral:rRNA from 1 species
UGCCAGCCGCCGCGGUAAUACGUAUGGUGCAAGCGUUAUCCGGAAUCACUGGGCGUAAAGGGUACGUAGGCGGCUUUGCAAGUCAGAAGUGAAAGGCUACGGCUCAACCGUAGUAAGCUUUUGAAACUGCAAAACUAGAGUUCAGGAGAGGUAAGUGGAAUUCCUAGUGUAGAGGUGAAAUUCGUAGAUAUUAGGAGGAACACCAGUGGCGAAGGCGACUUACUGGACUGAUAUUGACGCUGAGAUGCGAAGGCAUGGGUAGCAAACGGGAUUAGAUA